ensembl:lncRNA novel transcript
ACAGGAAGUAGGACAGAGCAAUGGAGGGAAGCCAGAUUUAAUGUCAGAAGUCUGGACCAUCAAUUUUAUCCCUUCCCAUUGCCUCCUUUUAAAUUUUAGUCAAUUCAAUAAAUAUUUUCAACUCCUCGUCUGUACCAGGCACCAAGCCACAGAAUGGAGUUCUGGCAAUGAACACUGCAGACAUGGCCGCCUUUAGCCUCAUGGAGCUUAGGGUCUGGGAGCAUUGUCAGUUUCUGAAUCCUCCAAGUGCUAAACUAUCUUCUCUCUUCAAAUUAGAGAAAAGAAAUGAGACAGCAGGCCUGCUUCUUUGAGUGUUUUUUUCUUUUUUGUUUCCGUUUUCUGACAACCAUACUUCACGUCUGACAGAGGAAAUGAUUCUUUUUGUCAGUGAUAAAUUUAUGAGUUUUGACUGUUUGUGAAGUUCCCUAAUUAAUUCUUUAUAGACUUCUAUUGGCAACUGAAUUUGUGUUUUGAGUUAAAAAUGGGAGUUCAGAUGAAUUACAGUUGAACAUUCUGCUCCCUUUGAAGAGCUCAUACUCCACAUUCUACGCUGUUAAUCUCUCUGCUUACUGAGAGGCACCGUUUGUCUUGCAGUGACGCACGGUGGGUGGUUACCAUGGCAUAGGAAAACAUUGCCAGCGCUGGCCCUGUCGUCAUGGAACCCCUGGGCCAUCUCCUGAGAAACUUGACUCUCCAAGAUAUGCAGAGCUUUGGGCCAGGAUCCUACAGCCACGGGUCAUGCAGAGCCAGUUGGCCACAUCCUUUGGGCCAAAUUUGGUCCUAACCAGGUCUUACCACGGUAACUGCUAACCAGUCCAUCUUCAGUUAAUAUUUCAUGCGUAAGAUGUUUCAUGAAGUAACUGAAUGGGCUAAUGGGUUGUUCACUGGAUAAGACUCCCAGAUACUCCCUUUCAUGCCAUUCCCCAGAAUUCCUUCACCUCCCAGUGCUGUCUGUAAGGGUGAAGAUACUCCAUUUUGCCCCAUGCUCUUUGCUGUGCCCCAGAUAGGCUCAAACAUUUUUCCCUUUUGGGGAUUUUGCAGGUAGGAAUUGUUGAACAUCUUACCAUUUAAUCCAGAAGUUAUGUCCUUUAAGGAAUCGACCCUGAGCCUGUGAGUUUUACUUUGGGUUGGGGGUGAAGGAGUGGACCUUGCAGCAUUCAAGGUCAUCCAAGAUCAUCCAGUUAAGGCCCCUAAGGUCACUACGGGGGGAAAAGCCUGGUGAGGGAAGAGAAAGCAUUAGGGGGAGCUGCACCGUGCUGAGAAAUAACACCACACAGAAGUCUGUGUUCUAAUCUCAGCUCUGCUUUGCAUUACUGUGUGACCUGGAGCUGAUCACAGCCCUCUGAGUCUUAAAGGGGUUGGACAAGGCCAACUAAACAUUAGAAACACCUGAAAGUGCUGGUUAAAAGGAAGAAUGCAUGAGCUUCACUCCAGAUUUACUAUAUCAGAAUUUCCAGGGUCAGGGUCCAAGAAUCUGCAUGUUUAAUACGCUUUCCACAUGAUUUUUCCCCCCUCUGGACUUAAGAAAACAAUGGGCAAGUCAGCUCAUGAAGAACUUUUCAGAUAUUCAGACUAUUAUUCUGAGAGAGAAAAUAUUGGCAGAGAACAGAUGGGAUUUUUCUCAAGGAAAAGAAAUGGAAAUCCUACAUCUUGCAAGAAAUAGAAAAAAAUAAAUAAACUGUUUGAAGAAGAAUCACAUCAGGCUGGCAGGAGAGAGCCUGCGGCUCGGUGUCUGACCCAGAAUGUUAAAGCCAGCCUGGCUUGGCUCCAGGAUAAAGGACACUCUGUCAGCCUCUCCACAUUGAUUCAUCUCCCCAGCCCCAAGAUCAGGAGAGCAUUCUGUUCCUUGAAGCAUUUUAUGACUGUAAGUCAGAAGUGCUGCAGUUUUAAUAAAAAGCUGUAUUGUCCUGA